UUGGAGGGCAGUCUGGUGCGCAGCGCGGUAUUCAGCUCCAUAGCGUAUAUUAAGUUGUUGCAGUUAAAAGCUCGUAGUUGAAUUUCGGGAUUCAUCCGUUGGUCGGGCUUCACGGUCCGUACUGGUGUGAUGGGUUCCUACCUUCUGAAUAACCGGCAUGCCAUUAAUUUGGUGCGCCGGGGAAGCAGAACUAUUACCUUGAAAAAAUUAGAGUGCUUAAAGCAGGCAAGUGCCUGAAUAGGUUAGCAUGGAAUAAUAAAAUAGGACGGCAUGGUUCUAUUUUGUUGGUUUCUAGGAUCACCGUAAUGAUUAAUAGGGAUAGUUGGGGGCAUUAGUAUUCAAUUGUCAGAGGUGAAAUUCUUGGAUUUAUUGAAGACUAACUUCUGCGAAAGCAUUUGCCAAGAAUGUUUUCAUUAAUCAAGAACGAAAGUUAGGGGAUCGAAGACGAUCAGAUACCGUCGUAGUCUUAACCAUAAACUAUGCCGACUAGGGAUCGGACGAUGUUAAUUUUUUAAUGACUCGUUCGGCGCCUUACGGGAAAC
rnacentral:rRNA from 1 species